GUAGGUGGCAAGCGUUGUCCGGAAUUAUUGGGCGUAAAGCGCGCGCAGGGCGGUCCUUUAAGUCUGAUGUGAAAGCCCACGGCUCAACCGUGGAGGUCAUUGGAAACUGGGGGACUUGAGUACAGAAGAGGAAAGCGGAAUUCCAAGUGUAGCGGUGAAAUGCGUAGAGAUUUGGAGGAACACCAGUGGCGAAGGCGGCUUUCUGGUCUGUAACUGACGCUGAGGCGCGAAAGCGUGGGGAGCAAACAGGAUUAGAUACCCUGGUAGUCCACGCCGUAAACGAUGAGUGCUAAGUGUUAGGGGGUUUCCGCCCCUUAGUGCUGCAGCUAACGCAUUAAGCACUCCGCCUGGGGAGUACGGCCGCAAAGGCUG
rnacentral:rRNA from 1 species